GACGAACGCUGGCGGCGUGCUUAACACAUGCAAGUCGAACGAAAAGAGGGAAAGAGCUUGCUCUUUCCGGAAUUGAGUGGCAAACGGGUGAGUAACACGUAAACAACCUGCCUUCAGGAUGGGGACAACAGACGGAAACGACUGCUAAUACCGAAUAAGUUCCAAGAGCCGCAUGGCCCAUGGAAGAAAAGGUGGCCUCUACCUGUAAGCUAUCGCCUGAAGAGGGGUUUGCGUCUGAUUAGCUGGUUGGAGGGGUAACGGCCCACCAAGGCGACGAUCAGUAGCCGGUCUGAGAGGAUGAACGGCCGCACUGGAACUGAGACACGGUCCAGACUCCUACGGGAGGCAGCAGUGGGGAAUCUUCCGCAAUGGGCGAAAGCCUGACGGAGCAACGCCGCGUGAGUGAUGACGGCCUUCGGGUUGUAAAACUCUGUGAUCCGGGACGAAAAGGCAGAGUGCGAAGAACAAACUGCAUUGACGGUACCGGAAAAGCAAGCCACGGCUAACUACGUG
rnacentral:rRNA from 1 species